UACGUAGGUGGCAAGCGUUGUCCGGAUUUAUUGGGUUUAAAGGGUGCGUAGGCGGUCUUUUAAGUCAGUGCUGAAAUACUCCAGCUUAACUGGAGGGGUGGCAUUGAUACUGGAAGACUUGAGUGUAGUCGAAGUAGGCGGAAUUGACGGUGUAGCGGUGAAAUGCGUAGAGAUCGGGAAGAACAUCGGUGGCGAAGGCGGUCUGCUGGGCCGUUGCUGACGCUGAGGCGCGACAGCGUGGGGAGCAAACAGG
rnacentral:rRNA from 1 species